rnacentral:siRNA from 1 species
GGGUGUACCGCGGCGAAGUUUGCC